AUUGAACGCUGGCGGCAGGCUUAACACAUGCAAGUCGAGCGGGGGAAGGUAGCUUGCUACCGGACCUAGCGGCGGACGGGUGAGUAAUGCUUAGGAAUCUGCCUAUUAGUGGGGGACAACAUCUCGAAAGGGAUGCUAAUACCGCAUACGUCCUACGGGAGAAAGCAGGGGAUCUUCGGACCUUGCGCUAAUAGAUGAGCCUAAGUCGGAUUAGCUAGUGGGUGGGGUAAAGGCCUACCAAGGCGACGAUCUGUAGCGGGUCUGAGAGGAUGAUCCUCCACACUGGGACUGAGACACGGCCCAGACUCCUACGGGAGGCAGCAGUGGGGAAUAUUGGACAAUGGGGGAAACCCUGAUCCAGCCAUGCCGCGUGUGUGAAGAAGGCCUUAUGGUUGUAAAGCACUUUAAGCGAGGAGGAGGCUACUUUAGUUAAUACCUAGAGAUAGUGGACGUUACUCGCAGAAUAAGCACCGGCUAACUCUGUGCCAGCCGCCGCCGUAA
rnacentral:rRNA from 1 species